rnacentral:lncRNA from 1 species
UUUCGCAUGCUUAUCAGUCUUGAUUUGAAAUUAUAUAGAGAUCAUGCUGACUUUCUGCGUCUUCUUAAAUAUUUUUUUCUUUGGCUAAGUUAAUUGUCUACAUGCUGGACUAUGACAUUGACCUAGAGAGAUAACCUGCCUUUUAACAUGGAAGUGACUUGACACAGGAGCGUAUAACUUGUUAAAGAACAAUCGAAGAUCAAGAAAAGAAGAGGGGGGGGGGGGGGGGGGGUCACAAUGGACCGCUUAAAUUCCAAACUUGCCUUAAGCAGUUUAUGUUUUUUUGAUAAAGCCUUUCAGUUGUCACAAACACCCAACCCAAGAAAACUCAACACAAUAAAAUGGACAAAAAGGCAAUUUUAUUUAUUUAUUUAUUUAUUUAUUAUUAUUAUUAUUAUUAUUACAGUUGCUGGAAUCCAAAAAUUGUGCAUAACUACACGAUCUAAUUUUGGUAGCGCGUUUUCUUUGUUUUUAUCUGAUAUUCAUCCAAUUAAAUAUAGUUAUCUUAGCCUCCGUUUGUAUAACAAAAUAUAAAUGGUUUAUAAAUUCAGUUAAAAUCAAACAUUAAUUUCAACCACAUAUUUAUAAUUACUAUUCAUUAUUCACGCUUCGUGGGGUCCACUACUAUUCCUCUUUAUAAACCAUUUAUAACUUUGCCAAACGGAGGCUAAUUUAUUACGAUGGUUAAUCCAUAUCCUACAGUGCACCUUAUGUCUCAAAUAGAAAACAGGCUAAGAAAGAAAGUUUUUUCAAUGUGGUCAAUCAAGGUUACUUUCGUAUGGUUUUUACUUCAACUUUUGAUUUUGAUUUCUUUGUUUUUGGACGUGCAGGCAGAGAAACAGAUUGAGGUGUAUAGCAAGCAAGGAUUUUCCCACUUGCCAAUCUGCAUGGCAAAAACACAGUAUUCAUUUUCUCAUGACGCUUCAGCGAAAGGUGCUCCAAGUGGUUUUGUCCUACCAAUCAGGGACGUCAGGGCAAGCAUUGGUGCCGGAUUUAUCUAUCCUUUAGUCGGGACAAUGAGUACGAUGCCUGGUCUACCAACAAGGCCUUGCUUCUAUGACAUUGACCUUGAUGCCGCCACAGGGAGGGUUAUUGGUCUUUCUUAAGAAUCGGAUAAAGCUCUUCGAACUUAGAUUUCGCUUUCUUGUUGGAAUAUAGAAU